rnacentral:rRNA from 1 species
AGUCGCAAGACCGCGAGGUUUAGCAAAUCUCUUAAAGCCGUUCUCAGUUCGGAUUGUAGGCUGCAACUCGCCUACAUGAAGUCGGAAUCGCUAGUAAUCGCGGAUCAGCAUGCCGCGGUGAAUACGUUCCCGGGCCUUGUACACACCGCCCGUCACACCAUGAGAGUUUGUAACACCCAAAGCCGGUGGGGUAACCUUUUGGAGCCAGCCGUCUAAGGUGGGACAGAUGAUUAGGGUGAAGUCGUAACAAGGUAAC